UACAGAGGUCUCAAGCGUUGUUCGGAUUCAUUGGGCGUAAAGAGCGUGUAGGCGGCCCGGUAAGUCCGCUGUGAAAGUCGGGGGCUCAACCCUCGAAUGCCGGUGGAUACUGUCGGGCUAGAGUGCGGAAGAGGCGAGUGGAAUUCCUGGUGUAGCGGUGAAAUGCGCAGAUAUCAGGAGGAACACCGAUUGCGAAGGCAGCUCGCUGGGACGUAACUGACGCUGAGACGCGAAAGCGUGGGGAGCAAACAGG
rnacentral:rRNA from 1 species